AGGUGUUGCCUAAAUGAUGAUCAGAAGAGUAAAAAGGUGAGAAUUUUUAGAGAGAAGACAGAGAAGUUUAAAGAGAAGGAGGAAAAGACGAAAUUCAGAGCUUUGAAGAAGAAGAGUGCAUGCAAAAAAAUGACACCAGAUUUCAAAACUUAAAUACUACCAUAAAAAACUCUCUCGGUUCACUCAGUCAUGCACACUUGAAUCUCACUCAGUUGCUGCAUUUAAUUAUCCUGACAUUCACCGUAAGAGAAACAUAGUAAUGGAAUUAAACAUUUUUC
rnacentral:lncRNA from 1 species